CAUCAUACGUCGUUAGUCUGUUGGAUCCUCGCUUUAGCUCAUUCGGUCCUUCAUCACCCAAAUUGCUAGGUAUAUCUUUCCUGACAUUUAUUCAUUGUAUGUAUCAUACCAGAGUGCUAGUAAACUGUCUGUGUGUUAUCCAAAUGCCGUAUUCCUGAAUCUUAUUUUGAGUUUGGCAGAUAGCCAGGGACAUCGGGUCCAUCACCAGCGCUAACACCUUUCUUCACCCCUUCCCUUGGUCUAUCUUGCCUCACAUGGCGCGUCGACAGGAUACGGCAAGUGAUUCUUCAGAUUUUUCACUUCUGAUUGAUACCGUAUUAAUUUUUGCAAGUACUUUGACUUUGAAGUUUUAUGCUUUUGUAGUUCGAAAGGUUGUUGAAAGGUUCGCUUUAGGCCUAGCCUCGUCAUUCGAACGCAUUGCAUAGCAUCUUUCGAACAGUUCUAUCCCUUCCUAACUUCUAGUUUUUUUGUCACGCAUUCAGUUCUUCACUUCAGUUUUUCGUUGCAUUUGUGCAUUUUUCAGUUGUUCGCAAUUUCGAACGCGACGUUGGACGUUCGUUAGGUUCAGCUGGUAACACCUAUCUGGAGCAUGGUGCAGUAUUGUUUCCGUCUCUCGGUUUUCGUUGUGUCUUAACAAAUAUCGUCUUUUGAGUUUCUUCUUUCAUGAAAAGUCCAAAGGUGUUGAGACUUCUUUUGCGUCCAGCACAAGAGUUGUUUGAAGAGUGCGUCUUACGUAAUCUCACACUCCCAGAGAACGCUGAUCCUCGUCAAGCAGCAAUUCUCAUCAUGGAAGACGUCGAAAGAAGGAAACGUGCAUCUACGAGUGGCUAUUCCCACCAAAGACGACAACGAGGAAUACCAAACAUCGGAAGAAUCAUCAGAAGACGAACAUCAGGAUGAACAAGUCUCAUCAACGAACAGAACAAGUCUACAGAGCGAGGCAACGAGGACCAGUCUCACUUCCUACUACAUGUCUACUGGAUGUGACUGUCUCACUCUGAUCAAGCUGGCACGACAGAUCGAACCUUCUCAGAAACACCGUGAUCCAAACUGGCGUCAACAAGGAGCCGAAGAAGGAACAUCAACGUCAGCAAUGCUUUUCGUCCACAUCACAGCCUAAGUAUUCAUCUCGGCAAAAUGCGACUGGUGCACAUCUGCCAAGCUUGGAAUCACCGUUUGGCCUAAUGGACACGUCUCCACCCAGUCACCUCCAAAGUCCCACCAGGAGAAGAUCUUCAACAGCAUGUUCUUAAAGAAAGACUUCCUCUAGGAACUUUCUCCAUCACACGCUGAAGAAUUUCAACCCAUACAGGAAAGGAUCUUCUACAACACUACAUCCAAGGAUCAAGACACUUCGACAGACAUCGAGACAUCAAAACUCAUCACAUCCUUCACGCUUCCAACAACGUGCAAGUAAAUAACAACAAAGCCUCGACAUCAACGUGUUCAUCAACACAACGCAAAUCUCCACCAAGGAACUGUCCUUUCCCACUUCUUCCUGGCACCAACAUCGUGGCACCCCAGGACGGCCCCAACAUCGUGGCAUCCCAGGACAAGGUGAAGAUACCAUCCCGUCAAGCAACAUCAGUCUCCGCAAGAACAAGUUCGUCAAACAGUUUUCCGGCGAACAACAGUGUUUGUGAACGUGUUAGUGAAUUCCGUAAUGUUAUCAACCUUCAUACAACACAGCCAUCACAGGUAUGUGAAAAUGUCAUGGUGCAUAACGACGAAAAGGAUGAGUCAUCUGACCUCUUGCUUGUGAAUACCGUACAAGUCAAUGACAUCAUUCCUUUGGAUAGGGUUGUUGUACGAGAGUCAGAUGCAAAAAUUGAAGUACAGCAUGCUGAAAUCUUGCACUACUUGGACAAACUUAAAGACAAAGUAACCUCACACAUAAAUGACACAAAGCUUAAGAAACUCCAUCAUUCUUAAGCACGCGAACGUGUUUUCUAAGCAAAAGUAUGACAUCGGAUUUUGUCCAAAGACCGAACAUUGCAUCGAUCUCUCUGACAGCAUUCCUGUUCGCGUAAAGUCUUUCCGCUACUCAUGGAAUGACAGAAAAUUCAUCAAGGAAGAAAUCGACAACUGGCUUAAAUUAGGUCUUGUUCGAAAAUCGGAGUCUCAUUACGCUUCCCCAGUUUUCGUUGUUGAUCAACCAUUUCAUCCGUCAACACCACGCAGACUUGUUGUUGACUACCGUAAGCUAAAUGGGAAAACCGUCAAAAGAGUGUAUAGUGUGCCUCGAAUUGAUGAUACUGUUGACAGAGUAGGAAAAAAACAAAUACUUUUCCACUAUGGACAUAAAGAAAGGUUACCUAAACAUUAAAAUAAGGGAAUCUGACCAACAUAAGGCAGCUUUCAUUACACCUGACGGUCUUUACGAAUUCGUUCGAAUGCCUUUUGGUCCACACCCGCCACUGGUGCUCCCGCCACUUGGCAAGCAGUAAUGGAUGAAGCAUUUCAUUCCCUCAAGUGGAAGGACGUUGUAAUUGUCUAUUUCGAUGACAUCUGUAUCUACACUUCCACUAUAGACGAACAUCUCGAUGUUCUUGACCAAUCUAUGUCCAUACUGGAGAAUUAUGGUUUCAAAAUCGAGAUCAAUAAUUGUCAGUUCAUUCAGACCCAUAUAAAGUUUCUGGGUUACAUUGUAUCUCAUGAGGGUAAACUGCCACAUUCGGAGAGGUCAGCUGCUGUUGACAAAUACCCCGAUACAUUGAACACAAUACAAGACGUAAAGAGAUGUUUGGGCUUUGCUUCUUAUUUUCGCAAAUUCAUCAAAGGUUUUGCUGAAAUUGCGCGACCUCUAUCACUCCUCUUGCGAAACAAGCAACAGUCCAAAAGCACUGGCAAAACGAACAUUACGUCAGAAUGGACACCUACACACACUGAGGCUGUACGUAACCUCAAAUCUCCCUUAAAAUCACCACCUAUUUUGGCUCAUUUUGAUCCAGACAAAGAAACUCAUGUUGAUGCUUCAGCGAAACAUCUAGGAGCGUUCAUCUCACAGAAACACGAUGGAAAAGAGCAUGUUGUUGAGUAUGCCAGCAGAGCAACCAACACAACAGAGGAAAAACUGCAUUCAAACAUGCUCGAAUGCAUUGCUCUUCAUUGGGCACUCACAGACAAAUUUCGUAUUUAUGUCUAUGGGUUGCCUAUCGUCCAUGUUUGGACAGACAACUACAGUGUCUCCUUAAUGACCAAUGCACAGCAAAUCAAUAGAAAUUUGCUCGCAUGGUUCUCGAUCUUCAAGAACUUCCUCUGAAGAUACACCAUCGUUCUGGAAAAACCAAUGUUGUCGCUGAUGACUAAUUCUCACUGCCGAGAAUUCUCAUCUCUCCAAUCACCAACAGUCAGAUCCGUCGUUAUUAGAGAUUUUUUAAGUCCUCAAAAAUCCUAAUAUUUCUUCUCGCAAAGCUGAGAACAUGCGGAAUACAUUCAUGUUGUCAAAUGGCAUACUCUGCCACAAAACAACUCAACAAAACGGACUGACAAAAACAAGGAUUGUCAUACCAGAAUCUCUUAGGAAAGAGAUAUUGCUUAAGUUUCAUGAUAAACGUGGUCACAUGAACAAAUUCAAGACCAAAGGCAGUAUUCUGAGCAAAUACUGGUGGUCGUCCAUUAAUAAGGACGUCAAAGAGUACGUCCAGGGUUGUAACAUUUGUCAGCGCUUCAACAGACAAACAUCGAAGCCCGUGGGAUACUUACAUCCUCGACCAAUUCCCACACAACCUUUCACCACAAGACCCCUCGAUCACAUUGGUCCACUUCCGGAAACAGGAAAUGGAAACAAGUACAUCAUUGUAUGUGUUGACCACACUACAUGCUUUGUAGUAACACAGGCUGUGAAAUCAACAGCAUCGUCACAUAUCAUACAGUUCAAUAAGGAAAAGAUCAACACAACUUUUGGUAUUCCUAUGACAAUUGUUUCUGACCAAGGUUCAGGUUUCAUGAGUCAGAACAUGGAAAAAUUCCUAACCACAACAGGAAUUGAACACACAACUUCUUGUCCUUAUUUCCAUCAGGCAAAUUAUCUCGUGGAAAGAUCUGUAGCCACCAUAAAGCAUAUUCUAAAAAAAUAUUGCUUUGAGAUUCCUUCAAAAUGGGACCAAUACAUCGCAAACACCACUUCUUUCAUAAACACUUCAAGACAAGGUUCUACUAGAUUUUCACCAUAUUUCCUUCUCUUUGGAUUUGAACCUCGUAUUGAAAACGAGAUUCAGGUUGGUGUAAUCGUUGACGAUAUGUCGCGACUUCAGAACAUUGAAAUGCUACACGACAUACGUGCAGAAGCACGCGAAAACCUAGAAAACGCUCUAUCCUCUCAGAAGAGACGUUACGACUACGGUCGAAACCCAUAUCAGUUCUCUGUGGGUGACUUAGUUUGGAUAGAAUCCUUUUCAACUUCACCUUUUGAUCCCAAGUACAAGGACAAGUUAUUUCUACUCAUCCCCAUGACAUUUGUACUGGAUGAAAGAAUAACAAAAACAGUUUCACAAAUGAAACUGUUCAAGGAUCAGCCAGAUUGGGAUCCUAACAUUACGUUUCAUGAUAUAGACAGUGACGAGAAUGUCUCUGUUCAUCAAGACAGUUCUUGAGAAUCCGAAGAAACACUUAGUCCACCUUACACGACAAGGUAUGGACGCGUCACCAAACAAAGGGUACCAUUACAUGCGUACGACCUUGUUUGACUUUGUUUCAAAGUACACACAUUCCAUAGGGACGCCUUGGUGAAUGUCGUUCAUUCAUGGACAGGGGACGCUCUGGUCCGCAAAUGAGUUUGUACUACAUUGCUUUAAAUGUAUCCAGUGUCUGCAAUAUGAAUUUUGUUGCGGUCACUUUUCCUUUGCUUUUCACUUUGGGUUACUUCCACAUUUCUUAGUUACUCACGCACACAGCCACACUGAAACACACGCUUACAUUGUUGCUGUUUAGCAUUUCCCUUCUACUGACCUCUUCAGAUCAGCUUUCUGCAUUUCGAAUUUGGUGUCUUAGUUUCGAAUUUAGUCACUUCUUCGCACUAGUUCUCUGCAUGUAAUUAGCAUUGCUGUAAUUAGCUGUGCUAUGUCAUGUACUAGACUAUCAUGUCCAGACUAGACUGUCAUGUACUACUACAUGUAGAACUUUCUACUUCAAUGUUAACAAAUUCACAAUGUGUUAGAAUUAGGAGAUUCUACUACUUCCUUUGAGGGUGGAUUAUUAAACUCUCUUAAACCUAGGUUAUGCAUUUCAGGACAAAAGAUGCUGCAUGCUUCUGCCAAGGGCCCUGGCAUGAAUCAUGUUCUCUUUUGUUUUUAUCCUGUUUCUGAACAGCUUCGAUUUUAAACUGUUAAAUUUCUGUAUUUCCGCAAUUGUAGCGUUUCAUUUUUCCUCAGUGUAAUAACGAAAUGAGGACAUUUCAUUUUUUGUUAGAGGUGGGCGUGUGAGAGCCAAUCUGUUCAAUUCGGCCUCACCGUCAUUGUCAUAAGCCAGCAGUGGCGCCGCUACAUGCUUAUAAGCGCGCGCCACGUGCUGUUCUCAGUUCUUUCAUCGUACGACGUUCAUCAUCAUACGUCGUUAGCUAGUCUGUUCGAUCCUCGCUUUGGCUCAUUCGACCCUUCAUCACCCAAAUUGCUAGGUAUAUCUUUCCUGCCAUUUAUUCAUUGUAUGUAUCAUACCAGAGUGCUAGUAAACUGUCUGUGUGUUAUCCAAAUGCCGUAUUCCUGAAUCUUGUUUUGAGUUUGGCAGAUAGCCAGGGACAUCGGGUCCAUCACCAGCGUUAACACCUUUCUUCACUCCUUCCCUUUGUCUAUCUUGCCUCACAGAACUGAAUGUAGUCCACCACAGCUGAAGUGUUGGUACUAUGACGUCCUCGUGCUCUUGCCUCAGCUGUAGUUCCAGGUUUGCCAAUUAAAUAAUACAUAGGCUCCA